GACGAACGCUGGCGGCGUGCCUAACACAUGCAAGUCGAACGGGACUUGAGGGGCUUGCUCCUUAAGUUUAGUGGCGAACGGGUGAGUAACGCGUGAGGAACCUGCCUUUCAGUGGGGGACAACAGUUGGAAACGACUGCUAAUACCGCAUAAUGUUAUCGGAUCGCAUGGUCUGAUAACCAAAGCUUUAUGUGCUGAAAGAUGGUCUCGCGUCUGAUUAGCUAGUUGGUGGGGUAACGGCUCACCAAGGCGACGAUCAGUAGCCGGUCUGAGAGGAUGAACGGCCACAUUGGGACUGAGAUACGGCCCAGACUCCUACGGGAGGCAGCAGUGGGGAAUAUUGGGCAAUGGGGGAAACCCUGACCCAGCAACGCCGCGUGAAGGAAGAAGGCUUUCGGGUUGUAAACUUCUUUUAGUAGGGACGAAGAACGUGACGGUACCUACAGAAAAAGCAACGGCUAACUACGUG
rnacentral:rRNA from 1 species